rnacentral:lncRNA from 1 species
UCCUGACCUCGUGAUCCGCCCACCUCGGCCUCCCAGAGUGCUGGGAUUACAGGUGUGAGCCACUGCACCUGGCCACGUGUAUCACCUUUUUGAUAUUGUCCUUGAUGAGUCCCUGAAGCUCUUUCCUUUUUCCUUGUUUUCUUUCCCCCCAAUUUCAGAAUGAAUAAUUUCUACUGCUUGGCCUUUAUUUUCAUUUAUCUGGUGAUAUUUCCUUUAUUAUCAAUUACAGGUCUAUGUUAAUACUCAUUGUUGAUUGGAAGUCUUUAUCUUAUAAUUCCAGCAUUUGGGUCAUGUUAGAAUUGCCUUCUGUUGAGUGUCUUCUCCCAGGAGAAUGGGUUAUGUUUUCCUGGUUCUUCCUAUGUGAAGUAAUUUUGGUUUGUAUGAAUAUAACACUCUUGUUUAUUCGUUCUCUUGUUAAACAUUUGUUUUUCUUCCAGUUUUGGGUCUUUAUGAACUAUUCUGUUGUGAACAUACAUGUACACAAUUGUGUGGACAACUGUUUUUAUUUUUCUUGUUUCUAGUAGAUUCUAACUAGAGGUAGAAUUCCUGGGUCAGAUGGUAAGUGAUAGUUAAAUUGUUUUCGUAAGUGGCUGCAUCAUUUUGCAUUCUAACUAGUAAUGUUUUUUAUUUUGUUGUUGUUGUUAUACAACCCUCCCUCCAACUAGUAAUGUUUGAAAGCACCUCAGUGCACUUUUAAUUUGCAUUUUAAAAAUCCCAUGGAGUUGAGUCUCUUUUCAUUUAAUAACCAUUUCUGUUGUUCUGGGAAUGGUUAGUGUCUUUUUGCCUUUCCUUCUUUUGUUUCCUCCCUUCCUGUCCUUCCCUCCCUUGUCAUUAACAUCUAGGUACCCUUUAUAUGUUAAAGAGAUUAUAUCUGUCUAGAUAAUUUGUGUAGAUAAUUUUUCUCUGUUACUCAUUUUUCUUUUGGCUACUUUGGGUGUGUUUUUGUAAAGAAGUUUUUAAUUUUUACAUAGUUGAAAUAACCUUUUAUAGUGUAUGGGUUUUAAGUUAUAGUUAGAAAGUCUCCUGCACUCCAGGGUUAUAAACUAUAUCACAUUUUCUUUUAAACUUUAUAUUUGAUACAUUUAGAUUUAUCCUGCUUUAACAUGUGCGGUAGGUAUCCAGUAUUAUUUUCUUGGUGGUAACUGCUGAGGCUGGCAGGUCACGAGGUCAGGA